rnacentral:rRNA from 1 species
CCCGCGUGUAUGAUGAAGGCCUUCGGGUUGUAAAGUACUUUUGGCAGAGAAGAAAAGGUAUCCCCUAAUACGGGAUACUGCUGACGGUAUCUGCAGAAUAAGCACCGGCUAACUACGUGCCAGCAGCCGCGGUAAUACGUAGGGUGCAAGCGUUAAUCGGAAUUACUGGGCGUAAAGGGUGUGUAGGCGGUUCGGAAAGAAAGAUGUGAAAUCCCAGGGCUCAACCUUGGAACUGCAUUUUUAACUGCCGAGCUAGAGUAUGUCAGAGGGGGGUAGAAUUCCACGUGUAGCAGUGAAAUGCGUAGAUAUGUGGAGGAAUACCGAUGGCGAAGGCAGCCCCCUGGGAUAAUACUGACGCUCAGACACGAAAGCGUGGGGAGCAAACAGGAUUAAAUACCCUGGUAGUCCACGCCCUAAACGAUGUCAACUAGCUGUUGGGGCCGUUAGGCCUUAUUAGCGCAGCUAACGCGUGAAGUUGACCGCCUGGGGAGUACGGCCGCAAGAUUAAAACUCAAAGGAAUUGACGGGGACCCGCACAAGCGGUGGAUGAUGUGGAUUAAUUCGAUGCAACGCGAAAAACCUUACCUACCCUUGACAUGUCUGGAAAGCCGAAGAGAUUUGGCCGUGCUCGCAAGAGAACCGGAACACAGGUGCUGCAUG